AAAUCAAAUAGCAGGUUGGUGAC
rnacentral:siRNA from 1 species